AGAGUUUGAUCAUGGCUCAGGAUGAACGCUAGCGGCAGGCUUAAUACAUGCAAGUCGAGGGGCAGCAGGUCCCGCAAGGGAUGCUGGCGACCGGCAAACGGGUGCGGAACACGUACACAACCUUCCUUAAAGUGGGGAAUAGCCCGGGGAAACCCGGAUUAAUACCCCGUAACAUAGUGAAGUGGCAUCACUUUAUUAUUAUAGCAGCAAUGCGCUUUUAGAUGGGUGUGCGACUGAUUAGGCAGUUGGCGGGGUAACGGCCCACCAAACCUACGAUCAGUAACUGGUGUGAGAGCACGACCAGUCACACGGGCACUGAGACACGGGCCCGACUCCUACGGGAGGCAGCAGUAAGGAAUAUUGGUCAAUGGACGCAAGUCUGAACCAGCCAUGCCGCGUGGAGGAUGAAGGUCCUCUGGAUUGUAAACUUCUUUUAUCUGGGAAGAAACCCACGAAUUCUUUUGUGGUUGACGGUACCAGAUGAAUAAGCACCGGCUAACUCCGUGCCAGCAGCCGCGGUAAUACGGAGGGUGCAAGCGUUAUCCGGAUUCACUGGGUUUAAAGGGUGCGUAGGUGGGUUGGUAAGUCAGUGGUGAAAUCUCCAGGCUUAACUUGGAAACUGCCAUUGAUACUAUCAAUCUUGAAUACCGUGGAGGUCAGCGGAAUAUGUCAUGUAGCGGUGAAAUGCUUAGAUAUGACAUAGAACACCAAUUGCGAAGGCAGCUGGCUACACGAAUAUUGACACUGAUGCACGAAAGCGUGGGGAUCAAACAGGAUUAGAUACCCUAGUAGUCC
rnacentral:rRNA from 1 species